rnacentral:rRNA from 1 species
UACGGAAGGCAGCAGUGGGGAAUAUUGCACAAUGGGCGCAAGCCUGAUGCAGCCAUGCCGCGUGUAUGAAGAAGGCCUUCGGGUUGUAAAGUACUUUCAGCGGGGAGGAAGGCGAUGCGGUUAAUAACCGCGUCGAUUGACGUUACCCGCAGAAGAAGCACCGGCUAACUCCGUGCCAGCAGCCGCGGUAAUACGGAGGGUGCAAGCGUUAAUCGGAAUUACUGGGCGUAAAGCGCACGCAGGCGGUCUGUUAAGUCAGAUGUGAAAUCCCCGGGCUUAACCUGGGAACUGCAUUUUGAAACUGGCAGGCUUGAGUCUUGUAGAGGGGGUAGAAUUCCAGGUGUAGCGGUGAAAUGCGUAGAGAUCUGGAGGAAUACCGGUGGCGAAGGCGGCCCCUGGGACAAAGCUGACGCUCAGGGUGCGAAAGCGUGGGGAGCAAACGAGGAUUAGGAUACC